CCUACGGGAGGCAGCAGUGGGGAAUCUUGCGCAAUGGGCGAAAGCCUGACGCAGCCAUGCCGCGUGAAUGAUGAAGGUCUUAGGAUUGUAAAAUUCUUUCACCGGGGACGAUAAUGACGGUACCCGGAGAAGAAGCCCCGGCUAACUUCGUGCCAGCAGCCGCGGUAAUACGAAGGGGGGCUAGCGUUGCUCGGAAUUACUGGGCGUAAAGGGAGCGUAGGCGGAUAGUUUAGUCAGAGGUGAAAGCCCAGGACUCAACCUUGGAAUUGCCUUUGAUACUGGCUAUCUUGAGUAUGGGAGAGGUUAGCGGAACUCCGAGUGUUAGAGGUGAAAUUCGUAGAUAUUCGGAAGAACACCAGUGGCGAAGGCGGCUAACUGGCCCAUUACUGACGCUGAGGCUCGAAAGCGUGGGGAGCAAACAGGAUUAGAUACCCUGGUAGUCCACGCCGUAAACGAUGAGUGCUAGUUGUCGGCAUGCAUGCAUGUCGGUGACGCAGCUAACGCAUUAAGCACUCCGCCUGGGGAGUACGGUCGCAAGAUUAAAACUUAAAUGAAUUGACGG
rnacentral:rRNA from 1 species